rnacentral:rRNA from 1 species
UGCAGUCGAGCGAACAGAUAAGGAGCUUGCUCCUUUGACGUUAGCGGCGGACGGGUGAGUAACACGUGGGUAACCUACCUAUAAGACUGGGAUAACUUCGGGAAACCGGAGCUAAUACCGGAUAACAUUUGGAACCGCAUGGUUCUAAAGUGAAAGAUGGUUUUGCUAUCACUUAUAGAUGGACCCGCGCCGUAUUAGCUAGUUGGUAAGGUAACGGCUUACCAAGGCAACGAUACGUAGCCGACCUGAGAGGGUGAUCGGCCACACUGGAACUGAGACACGGUCCAGACUCCUACGGGAGGCAGCAGUAGGGAAUCUUCCGCAAUGGGCGAAAGCCUGACGGAGCAACGCCGCGUGAGUGAUGAAGGGUUUCGGCUCGUAAAACUCUGUUAUUAGGGAAGAACAAAUGUGUAAGUAACUGUGCACGUCUUGACGGUACCUAAUCAGAAAGCCACGGCUAACUACGUGCCAGCAGCCGCGGUAAUACGUAGGUGGCAAGCGUUAUCCGGAAUUAUUGGGCGUAAAGCGCGCGUAGGCGGUUUCUUAAGUCUGAUGUGAAAGCCCACGGCUCAACCGUGGAGGGUCAUUGGAAACUGGGAAACUUGAGUGCAGAAGAGGAAAGUGGAAUUCCAUGUGUAGCGGUGAAAUGCGCAGAGAUAUGGAGGAACACCAGUGGCGAAGGCGACUUUCUGGUCUGUAACUGACGCUGAUGUGCGAAAGCGUGGGGAUCAAACAGGAUUAGAUACCCUGGUAGUCCACGCCGUAAACGAUGAGUGCUAAGUGUUAGGGGGUUUCCGCCCCUUAGUGCUGCAGCUAACGCAUUAAGCACUCCGCCUGGGGAGUACGACCGCAAGGUUGAAACUCAAAGGAAUUGACGGGGACCCGCACAAGCGGUGGAGCAUGUGGUUUAAUUCGAAGCAACGCGAAGAACCUUACCAAAUCUUGACAUCCUUUGAAAACUCUAGAGAUAGAGCCUUCCCCUUCGGGGGACAAAGUGACAGGUGGUGCAUGGUUGUCGUCAGCUCGUGUCGUGAGAUGUUGGGUUAAGUCCCGCAACGAGCGCAACCCUUAAGCUUAGUUGCCAUCAUUAAGUUGGGCACUCUAGGUUGACUGCCGGUGACAAACCGGAGGAAGGUGGGGAUGACGUCAAAUCAUCAUGCCCCUUAUGAUUUGGGCUACACACGUGCUACAAUGGACAAUACAAAGGGCAGCUAAACCGCGAGGUCAUGCAAAUCCCAUAAAGUUGUUCUCAGUUCGGAUUGUAGUCUGCAACUCGACUACAUGAAGCUGGAAUCGCUAGUAAUCGUAGAUCAGCAUGCUACGGUGAAUACGUUCCCGGGUCUUGUACACACCGCCCGUCACACCACGAGAGUUUGUAACACCCGAAGCCGGUGGAGUAACCAUCUAUG